rnacentral:rRNA from 1 species
CGUAGGGUGCGAGCGUUAAUCGGAAUUACUGGGCGUAAAGCGUGCGCAGGCGGUUUGUUAAGAUAGGCGUGAAAUCCCCGGGCUCAACCUGGGAACUGCGCUUAUGACUGGCAGGCUAGAGUACGGCAGAGGGGGGUGGAAUUCCACGUGUAGCAGUGAAAUGCGUAGAGAUGUGGAGGAACACCAAUGGCGAAGGCAGCCCCCUGGGUCGAUACUGACGCUCAUGCACGAAAGCGUGGGUAGCAAACAGGAUUAGAUACCCUGGUAGUCCACGCCCUAAACGAUGUCAACUAGGUGUUGGGAGGGUAAAACCUUUUAGUACCGGAGCUAACGCGUGAAGUUGACCGCCUGGGGAGUACGGCCGCAAGGUUA